rnacentral:rRNA from 1 species
CACCGCGGUUAUACGAGAGACCCAAGUAGAUAGCUACGGCGUAAAGAGUGGUUAGGGAUAAAAACAAAUAGAGUCAAAUAUCCUCCAAGCUGUUAUACGCUUUUCGAGGCCACGAAGCCCUUUUACGAAAGUAACUCUACCACAAACCACCCGAACCCACGAAAACUAAGAAA